CUGGUUCGGGGCUAAUGAGGUUUCAACAGCCUGCUCCGUGGCUGUCUUUGGCAAUCAGGAAUCUGUGCCAUCCAAAUUGCUUGAUCCAGUGAAUCUGCUAGGAAAGGUCUCUGAGGCCCCCGUCUGCUGACUGCAUGACAAACCCUAAAGGAAAUGCCAAUCGUGAUGGCCCGGGACCUGGAGGAAACAGCAUCAUCCUCAGAGGAUGAGGAGGUCAU
rnacentral:sRNA from 2 species